AUUCCAAAAGUUUAAUCUAUUACACGGAUACACGUUUAUGAAUAUUAAGGAAAAUUUCGAAUGGUUCCAGAUUAUGGAUAUUGAAAAGUUUCUUUUAUGAUUUUUACCAAUGUUUCCGGUAGUUUUUGUCUUUUGUUUACAACAAUUGAAUUUGUUUAUUGAUUUUUGGUUGUUUUUAAUGGCGGAUCUGGUAGUCUGAAUUUUAUAGAGCAAUUUUUGUCUCAUGAAUUUUUCUCCUUCUCUAUUACAGGUGGCGCUACAAAUUUUCAAAGUUCACGGGCACACGGAUAUAGGUGUGUUUGAGUGGCUGAGUGUAGAUCUUCAAAAAUUCAUAUCUUCGCUGCUUACAGAGAUUAAGGAACGAUUUUCGGCCCCUCGAAGUCAUUGCGAUUUGUGGUCCCAUGACCACCCAUUGUCGGAGGUGGUGCUUGGGAUCUAGAAGUGCCUCUCCCCGGUGAGUUAGUUGGCGCUUCCAGGAGGACUGGAUCUGGAUAACCUUGGUUCCGAUACUACGAACCGCUGGGAUCUUGUGGAGUUUGGUUCAGAUUCGGCGGGACCGAAGAUCGAGGUACAGCUCCUGCGCCAAGCCCAUUAUUGGUUUGAG